rnacentral:rRNA from 1 species
AUACGGAGGGUGCAAGCGUUACUCGGAAUCACUGGGCGUAAAGCGCGCGCAGGCGGGCUGAUAAGUUGGAUGUGAAAGCCUACGGCUCAACCGUAGAACUGCAUCCAAAACUGUCAGUCUAGAGUGUGGGAGAGGAAGAUGGAAUUAGUUGUGUAGGGGUAAAAUCCGUAGAGAUAACUAGGAAUACCAAAAGCGAAGGCAAUCUUCUGGAACACUACUGACGCUGAGGCGCGAAGGCGUGGGGAGCAAACAGGAUUAGAUACCCGUGUAGUCC